rnacentral:lncRNA from 13 species
CAAAUACCAUGCUUUUGUUUGAGAAGAGCAAUCAACAACAGAAACAUUUUCCACCAUGACAGUUUUUACACAUUCACAUCUGAAGGUAAAAUUAUGACUUACAUUCUGAUAUCUUGCUCUUAUUUCUCUUCCUGAGGGUACCAGUGAUCAAAUGAAGUGCCGUUUUCUUUGAUAUAAUCAAUUUUUAUAGCCUAAAUCGAAACAUUUUGUAAACCGUUUGUGCCAUGAAUUCCAUCUCUAUCAAAUUUUUUUACGGAGCGUUUGACGUAAUUACACACCGUAAACAAUCGUUAAUCUAGUCAGUGUUUUUUUUUUGCUGGGAGUAUUGACCGAAGUGAACUGAUUUGAAGACAACGAGCAAUGACUACCUUUACGCACCAAUAAUUUUAGCGAAGCUCCAUUGAUUGACUAUAUUUCUGCACAAUGACCACUGACUGAUCUUCUUGAAAUCUAGCUGGGUAGAUAGCCAAUGAGCUGAGGUAAACGCCAGUAUGUAAUGGUUUUGGGUUGGACCACCAUUCCUUGUUUGGAAUCGCAUGCGCAAGGACCUCCAUUCUCGCCUUGACGAUCAGAGGAGUUGCUGUAAGGCUUUUUACGCGCAGCUGUAUUUCGGAAAGUUGUAGUUUCAACGAUUUCAUUGAAGAUAUCAUGGCGAAUAAAUCAGGAAAAGCGAAGUCAAAGUCUAAAGUGAAAGUGAAAAAGUGAAAGUGAGACAGAUUUUUUGUUUGAGGAAUCUUGGAGUGUUAUGAUUCAAACAAACUGGGGAGUUGUUUCUGCAAGGACAGGACGUACUUCUGGAUGGUGAUAGUGACUCCGACUGGGAGCCCCCGGUGCCAAGCUGCCCGCUCUACCUCUGCCCCCAGUGGUGUUCAUAUGCCACAGUUCAUUACUGCAGGCAUUACUGUGCCUCAGGGCCAAAAGGGCACAGCAUGGAGGCGUCGUUGUGUUCUGUGUCGCAUGAAAUGCACCACUUGUUCAGUUUGCCUCUCCUUUACAUCAGAAAGAGACUGCUACGGGACAUGGCACAAGCAGCAAAAUAUUGUGACGAGGACUUCCAAAGGGUGUACUGUUUUUUUAAAUAUUUAUUUUCUAAUAUUUUUUUAAACAUUUUUUUUGUGUGUGUGUGUUAGAAUUGCUUUUUGAUAUGUUGUGUAUAUAGUUAUUUGCACUGCUGUAUAUAGUUACAGGUCAUUUCACCAAUUCGGACACUUGGGCACAUUUGGGCAACUUGUGUGGGACACCUGGGUGACUUCAUGCUAAAUGUCAUGUAUCUCACCCAUUACUGAAGUCAUCAGUCUGAAACGUUGCACACCUACAGUUGCCCUCUUGUGAUAUCCAUCAAAAUUAUCUCCAGCAUCCUAUCUGACUGUGUGGCUAUUCUAGUACAUGUGAAAGACGAUACUACAACAAUAAAAAACAGAAAACGUAUGCUCUUUCUUUCUCUUUUCUUCCACCAGAUCUACUGUGUUUAUAUUCUCCUACAUUCAAUUAACAUUUCCACAAACUUCAGAAUGUUUCCAUUCAAAUGAUACCAAGAAUAUGCAUAUCCUUGCCUCUGGGGCUGAGCUACAGGCAGUUAGAUUAGGGUAUGUCUUCAGGCAGAAAUUGAGAACAAAGGGAUGCAGCCAUAACAGGUUAAGAGAAAUACUUGUUAAGUAAAAAAAUAGUUAUGUUUAAAAAAAAAGAUGAAAUAAACGUAACAAAUAAUUAAAGAGCAGCAGUAAAAUAACAAUAGCGAGGCAAUGUGGAGGCUAUUUACAGGGGGUACCGGUACAGAGUCAAUGUGCCGGGGCACCGGUUUGUCAAGGUAAAUGAGGCAAUAUGCACAUGUAGGUAGAGUUAAAGUGACUACGCAUAGGUAAUAAACAGAGAGUAGCAGCAGC